AAUAUAUGCUGAGAUUUUGAAGUGAAAACACUCUCCCAAAGUUUAUUCAAGCACCCACCAUAUUUACUUCAUCUUUAAAACCUUCGAUUCUUCAUAUACUUCGUUAUAUACACAAGGUUUUAAACCCCGAGGCUUCGUACCACCCAACCUAGCCAAAUCUCGCUUAGCUCAUUUUCAUACCACUCUUGUUGUCCUCCCGAAGGGCUCUCCAAAGUUCGUGUGCAAAGCCAAAAUCCGGUCGAACCUCCGACGAAUUUUUCCGGCGAACUUUUUGUAAGUGGUUAUUUUAGCUUCGUUUUACUCGUGUCUUAACCGACCAUUUUUGACAAAGGGCUUUUGAACAAAAAUAUUCUCUUCAUCUUUAAAGCUCUCUUUGUUUACAAAACACACGAGCUAGCCACUCGUUAUAUAUUUGUGCGUGUGUUUUGUCCCGGAACCUAACUCGUAUCCUUUGAGAUUUCCUCACCAAACUUUGGAGGGAUCUUUGCCUUGGCACGGAAAGCCGGAUAUAAGGCCAAAGUGAGGUGAAGUGAAGUGAGGUGAUCUUCGUUCUAAGACCCAAGUCCUUGACGUAUUGACGGGGAGUUAAUAGUCAUUGCACCGUGAAGAAGAGGAAAGACCCGAGAUCUAAUACCUAAGACCCGAGACCGGCAAAAGGUGUAGAAGUACAAAGACUACACAAGGUUCUACAUCGACUUUGAGGAAGUAACGGGGAGUUACGUUCCGAGACAAGCUUUGUAGGUGUUUUUACAUUUAUAGUGAGGAGGUAACGGGAAGUUACGCUCCAAGAUAUAUAUUUGUAAAGGCUUCUCCGCCUACUUUAAAGGAGUAUCUUUUUAGUAGAGAAAAUCUCGAGUC